rnacentral:rRNA from 1 species
GCACACAAGUCUGUUGGAAUACAGCGGCAUAGUGGUGAGACCCCCGUAUAUGGUGCGGACGCCCAGCGCUUUGUGAUACAUUUUCGAAGAGUCGAGUUGUUUGGGAAUGCAGCUCAAAUUGGGUGGUAAAUUCCAUCUAAAGCUAAAUAUUGGCGAGAGACCGAUAGCGAACAAGUACCGUGAGGGAAAGAUGAAAAGCACUUUGGAAAGAGAGUUAACAGUACGUGAAAUUGUUGGAAGGGAAACGCUUGAAGUCAGACUUGCUUGCCGAGCAAUCGGUUUGCAGGCCAGCAUCAGUUUUCCGGGAUGGAUAAUGGUAGAGAGAAGGUAGCAGUUUCGGCUGUGUUAUAGCUCUCUGCUGGAUACAUCUUGGGGGACUGAGGAACGCAGUGUGCCUUUUGGCGGGG